GACGAACGCUGGCGGCGUGCUUAACACAUGCAAGUCGAACGGAAAGGCCCUGCUUUUGUGGGUUGCUCGAGUGGCGAACGGGUGAGUAACACGUGAGUAACCUGCCCUUGACUUUGGGAUAACUUCAGGAAACUGGGGCUAAUACCGGAUAGGAGCUCCUGCUGCAUGGUGGGGGUUGGAAAGUUUCGGCGGUUGGGGAUGGACUCGCGGCUUAUCAGCUUGUUGGUGGGGUAGUUGCUUACCAAGGCUUUGACGGGUAGCCGGCCUGAGAGGGGGGACGGCGACAAUGGGACUGAGAGACGGACCAGACUGCUACGGGAGGCAGCAGGGGGGAAUAUUGCACAAUGGGCGGAAGCCAGAUGCAGCAACGCCGCGUGCGGGAUGACGGCCUUCGGGUUGUAAACCGCUUUCGCCUGUGACGAAGCGUGAGUGACGGUAAUGGGUAAAGAAGCACCGGCUAACUACGUG
rnacentral:rRNA from 1 species